AAUUAGCUAAACAAAGAAAUCAUGGCGGAUUGUUUACAUUUGGCAGCGCCCGGGCUGCGCCGACCGCCGGCCCCGAGCCGCCGCGGGCUCCGAGGAGUCGGCCGAGCUGCUCCCGCGCCCUGGCCGGCUGGGUCUUCAUCCUCAUUGUACUCCCUUGGCAUCUCAUGGUGACGUGACUUAGAAGGUGGUGCAGAGACGUUUGAAACUAUUGCUUUGCUGAAAACAUCUGACUGCCAGGCUAGGAUGUGACACUUAAGGGACUUACCAAUUUGGGAUUCUUCCAGGAGCUGAAAACUGAUUGCAAAUAUGAAACAGAUUUCACUACAGGACUUGAACCCUACAUUAAAAAACAACAAGCUCCCCAAAAUAAUUGAAAAAGAUCUUCACCAAAGAGUAGCUGCAAUGUGAAUGGCAGGAUAUGAAGCAAGUAAGAGAUGGUGAAAAGAUUAUCUUAAGCUUGGAAUUAAGUGAUGAAAGGGACCUUCGAAAUUAUCAACUCUAAAUACUUCUUUACAGGAAAAUUGAAAGCAGUUAAGAACCUGCCCCCUACCGUGGAGUUCUUGGUGCCGUGAGUUGGAGUUCUUGGUGCCUGGGUGCGUCCCCAAGGCCACUGGUCUUCAGAUCUUUCUUACUUGAGAAGAACGCCUCCGCCUCCUGGCUCUCCCACCAGUGGUAUUGCCACCACCACACACCAGCAUAAAGCACAGAUUGCUGCCCAGCUCCUUGGAGAGGGGCCAGUGCAUUUGUCAGGAAUUGAAAAGUUUUGGAGCCAGUUCGAGGACUUUCUCCUGCACAAAGUGUUGGCUGGAAGCAUGAUUAUCUCACACAGAGCGUUGGAAUUACUUCAUGAUGAUUUCAAAGAAAAUUUUCUUCUCUAAACACUCUUAUCCCAAGGGCAUCCUAAAGUUCCUCUGGAAUGCAUUGGGUGGGAGAGAAAGUUCUAUGUCAACUCUUCUGGCAGAGGGAAAAGCUGACCGAGGAAGUCAAAAUGAAAGAAAGAAGCAGACAGGACUGAGGCUCCCUGAGAUGCAGAAACUGAGGCACAGAGCAAGGAUGUGCCACAGCAGAAGCAAGUUGUGUUGGCAGUAGGAAACAAGAUAAAGAGAAGAACUCAAAGAAUUGAGAGAAGGCUUUGAACAUGAUGAUGGAGAAAUAACACUCUUGGGAGAAAUGAAGAUACUUUCUCCUCCCUGGUUUACCUGAGUUUCCAGCACCCAGUGAUAAGAAAGGAUGGCAUUAGUGAUGUGUACACCUGCAGUGAUAGCUUCACCUUUCUAAAGCAGAUGCCGUGGUAGACAUUUUGCCAGCCCUCCUUUCACUAUACACACAGCUUGGUGUACGCUGGCAGACUUUUGACCUAAUUUCUUAACCCUCAAAUAUUCCAAGACAGAACAAAGCACACAACAAAACCAGAAUGAGGCCGGGCAAAGUGGCUCAUGCCCGUAAUCCCAGCACUUUGGGAGGCUAAGGGGUGGGCAGAUCACUUGAGGUCAGGAGUUUGAGACCAGCCUAGGCAACAUGGUGAAACCCAGUCUCUACUGAAAAUACAAAAAUCAGCCGGGUGUGGUGGCAAAUGCCUGUAAUCCCAGCUACUGGGGAGGCUGAGACACAAGAAUCACUUGAACCCAGGAGGGGGAGUUUGCAGUGAGCCGAGAUUGUGCCACUGCAUGCCAGUCUGAACAACAGAGCAAGACUCUGUCACAAAAACAAACAAAAAACUGAAUGAAUGGAAGCAGAUAAGUGCAGAGAGAAACACUGAUUUACCUUCAGAAAGAUAAAAAAGUAGUAUAUUGAUAUACUUGUAUAUUGCUAUCUACUAGUAUAGCUUCAGUUGGUGUAUGAGUAUAGAACUAUUGGGUUGUUCUUUAUGUGAUUACUCCUUCCCAGUUUUAGUAAAGUAUUCCAAUUUGAGGGAAAUUCUUUCAUUUGUCAAUAAAAUAAAAAGAGGUAAGUUUUAAAAUCUGUAUAGUUCUUCCUUCAUGCUAGUUGCCUCUCUUUUUGAUAUUUCUUCUAUAAAAAUCUUUUCUUACAUUCAGUUUUCAUUGUAUAGAUCAUGAAGGAACCAUAGUGAUUAUCAAAGAUCAGCCGAUAAGUUCAAGGCAGAGUUCCACCUUUCCCCAUGAAGCCCUUCCAGACUUGUUUACAUGUAACACCCUUGAAGGCAAGACUCAUGUCUAUGCUAUCUUUGCUGCUAUUUGGCACGUAUUAGGUGUAAGGGCAAUUAGACCAUAUCAAUUAAUGAUCAGUAAGAAUGGAUAAAGUAGAUGUUUUUGUGAGCCUCUCAAAGAAGAUGUAUAGAAUAUUUUGGAAAUGGGCCCAAUUUGUUUCUAAAGGAAAAUUUACUUUCAAAUUAAAAAAAAAAAAUCACUCAAAUGAGAUUUUGGGGGAUUUCAUAUGAUUAACUCUUUACAUUAUCUUGUGGUAAUUAUACAGAAAUCUGUAUUUAUGUAAACACAGUAAAUGCAUCAUAACACUAGAAUAAGUAUACAAAUACUGCAUGUCAAAUUAGGUUAUAAUCACUUUCAAGGGACGUGAUUUCCUAGCUAAACAGAUUCGUUUACAUUUUGCAAAAUAAAAAAUAAGUGAAAAUAACUAUAUAAAAUCAGGCUUACAGCUGGACAGAUCUUCUUGGCAAUGGUCCAGACACUGAGUAGGGAAAAGCCCCUCCAGCUGAGGAACGUUCAGGACGCUCAGGACGACUUUGCAGGCGCGGCCGGGAGAGAGGCCAUUUUUGGGGUUGCCUUGACUGUGCACCCUGUUCCUGGCUACCUAUGGGGAGAUAAGCUGCAUUCACAUAUCAGAUGAGACUCUUUUUGUGAGAGGUCUGGGGUGGGAUGUGGGAAGUGGAGUGAAAACCUGCUUAGUAGGGGAGGAAAAAAACAAGCAAUCCAACACUUCACCUUUAGGUAAUAAACAUAAUAGAAAAAGUCAGGAAUUCUCUAACUAAAAAGCAGACAGUGGAAGCUAGCAUCGGACUCACUGAAUUUUAGAAUCAGGGUCUGUGUACCAUGGAUUAUCUGGCCCUGCCCUUGUCACUGGAUGAGAAGAUUCUGGCUAUAGGGCAAGAAGCAGUGCUUGGACCGAGAUCCAGAAUGUUACCCUCAAAUCUGAAGCUUAUUUAUGAGAUAAAUAAAGCUCAUAUUUUCAAGAGAGAUAAUUAUUUUAAAACUUCUCAUUUCAAUGUGUACCUUAAAAAAAUAAAUACAUUUUGGGCCAGGUGCGAUGGUUCAUGCCUGUAAUCCCAGCACUUUGGGAGGCCGAGGUGGGCAGAUCAUGAGGUCAGUUUGAGACCAGCCUGGCCAACAUAGUGAAACUCCGUCUCUACUAAAAAUAAAAAUAAAAAAAUUAGCUGGGCAUAGUGGCACGUACCUGUAGUCCCAGCUACUUAGGAGGCUGAAGCAGGAGAAUCGCUUGAACCCAUGAGGCAGAGGUUGUGGUGAGCCCAAAUUGCGCCACUGCACUCCAGCCUGGGCAACAGAGCAAGACUCCAUCUCAAAAAACCAAUCAACCAACCAACCAACAAAAAACAUUUCACAUCUCCCUGACGUAGCCAACAUUUUCUCCAACAUUCUCUUAUUUUGAUGGCAGAAGGGCAUAACUGUAAAUCUCAGUUUUUAUAUGGUAUUGUAUAAUAUAGUGGCAUCCUUUGCGGCCAGUUGAUUGUGAAGAGCAGUUUGCCUUUACUUAGCUUCCAUGAACAUUAGCUUUAAAUGCUCAUUGACAUUAAUGAGAGCCAGUUUGCUAAAUCUGUGUCUCCUUCAUGUUCAUUUGCUACUUAGUUUUGUUGAUUCCAAGAAGUCACUAAUUUUUUUAAAUCAUAGAUUCUGAUUUCGAGGUAGCUUCAUUUUUCUAGUGUUGAGUAAAAUGUGUGUGUGUGUGUGCUUUAGUUUAAUUAAUACUAAUUUUUAUUCAAAAUAUAUUUGUUGAGCACUUACUCUCUGCUGUGGCUGGGCAUACAUUACUUUCUUUCCACAGUCCGUUGGUUGAAUUGUCCUGAGCAGGGGUUGACAAAUGAUGGCCUGUGAGCCAAAUCUACCCCACUGCCUGUUUUUGUAAAUAAAGCUUUAUCAGAACAUA
ensembl:lncRNA LINC01122 long intergenic non-protein coding RNA 1122